GGAUCUACAAGCAGGAAGAGCCUUUGGGAAUGAUCUACUCUAACCCUCUGCUUUUGUGGAUGAGAAAACUGAGACUCAGGAUAGAGAAGUGGCUCAUCCUGCAUUGUCAAUUUCUGAAGGGAUCUAGAACACCAGGGAGGGAGGUUCCAUCGUGGCUCAGCGGAAACAGAUCUGACUAAUGUUCAUGAGGAUGCAGGUUCCAUCCCUGGCCUCGCUCAGUGGGUUAAGGAUCCGGCGUUGCCGUGAGCUGUGGUGUAGGUCACAGACACGGCCCGGAUCUGGCAUUGUUGUGGCUCUGGCGUAGGCCAGUGACUACAGCUCUCAUUAGACCCCUAGCCCGGAAACCUCCAUAUGCUGCGGGUGCGCCCCUAAAAAGACAAAAAAAAAAAAUUAGAAUAACCAGUGAAUGUUGAUGAAGCCUGAGCUUUCUCCCCUGUGCAAAAACGCUGCCUGGGGGUGGGGGUUGGGGCGGGGGCGAGGCUCGUGCCCAUCUCUUCUCUGACCUCCGUUUUCCUCGUGGACGUGAGUGGUCUCUGAGGGAGACAGAGAGAAGACUCGCCCAGCCCCACUCCAGGCCACCAGCCACGUCGCAUUAGCUCCCGUCAUUGAAUAUUUUUAAAAUGCUUCUUUCUCUUUUUUUUUUUUUUUUUUUGGGUCUUUUGUAUUUUUAGGGCCUCACUGGCGACAUAUAGAGCUUCCCAGGCUAGGGGUCCAAUCCAAGCUGUAGCCGCCCGCCUAUACCACAGUCACAGCAACUCGGGAUCCGAGCCACGUCUGCAACUUACACCACAGCUCAUGGCAACGCCAGAUCCUUAACCCACUGAGCAAGGCCAGGGAUGGAACCUGCAACCUCAUGAACACUAGUCAGAUUCGUUUCCGCUGAGCCAUGACAGGACCUCCACAGUUUUCAUUUUUCUGCUGCCUGAAAUUCCUCCCGGAACAAGGCACAGAGCUGAUGCAUAGAUGAACCAAUGCAUGGAUGGUUACUGUUCCCCACCCAAAGCGCCUUGCCCUGGGACACAGUCCCUGGGGGUAUUCAUUGGAGACACUCCCAUAAACAGAUAGUUUCGCCAAGGUGAGAAUCACACCACCAGGGGAAGCCCAGGGGCUGUGGAAGCUCAAAAGAUGGGCCCCCGAUCUAGGCAGAGGGUGAGGGAGGCUUCUAGGAAGAGGUGACCUUCAGCUGAGUCUUCAAGGACAAGAAGGAAUUAGUCAGGGGCAGGUGACGUGACAAAGGAAACAGCGGGUCGAAAGUGCUUGAGGCCCAAGAAGCCUCGUCCAUUUGAGGAUCUGCUGCCAAGUUCUGACCAGGUUGGGAUCUGCCUUCACCUCUCCCCUCUGCCGGGCUCCCCGAGGGGCGUGUGUUACCCACAGUAGGAACAGGAGCCCUCGGGGAGUGGGGUGCCGAGUUGUCCUGGCUGACAAGCACCCGGGGAAUAACCCCUUACCCCCAGGACUGCCAGCCGGGUGCAGGGGCUCCAGCCUCUGCCAGAAUGGCCCAGCAUGCAGGGCCGGCUCUGAAGUCGCUUCCCCAAGCGGCCGGUCAAGUGCAGCCAGGGUUCAAGCCCAUCCCUCUGGAUGGGCUGGCAGGUGCGGGAGGGUGGCAAAUGGAGAGGCGUGACGGGACUCAGGGAACUGGGUCGGGAGGCAAGUUGAGCCACCCCGCGGUGCCCCAGAUGCACAUCUGCACCUGAUGUCCCGAAUUUCAGGGAGAAAACCAAGGCCAAGAUGUUCUUAGGACAGGAAGCGGGGAGAGGAGAGGGGAAGGAAGGAGCGAGAGAACUCUAUUUGGAAACAAACAUUUACUUUUAUUUAACCAUCAAAUAUUAUUAAAGGGAAAAGUGGCAGGUUUCCGGAGCACUCCGGCGUCUUUCUGGAUAAGCUGCUCUUACUCUGGGUUAACAUGAGGAACUAGCGUCCCUAAGCACCCAUAUUAACCUGCCUGUUGUGCUAUGGACUGUGACAGCUGGGUUUUACAUCUUAAUGGCCAACCAUUUAUUUCACUCAUGGAAAUAAAAAGGAAAAGCAUUUUUUUUUUUGCGCCCAGGAAGCAGGCACUCCAGGCUGGAAGCUUUGUCCCUAGAAACAGGUGUGGAGGCAGAAUCCGUACGUGGACUCAAGUGACCCCCACCUGCCAUGUGCCCUGGGAGGUUCCCGCACAUCCUCCCGCUCCCCCCCAACCCCGUUUUCUUCUCUAGCCUCUCCCUGGGCUCGUUGUGGUCUCUCGGGGAGGAGAUGGGGAACAAGCCCCUCUUUGGGAUCACAAGGAGUGCCUGGAAGGGCCCCAGGUGCAGAGAACAGGUCCUGAGAGCGAGGAGACAGGGGAGGAGGACCACGCUGGACCAGCUUCAGAGAAGAGGAGGGCUCCAGGGGAGGGCGAUGAGGAGCGGGCUUCCCAAGAAUAGCUACACUUACGCAGUGCCAACCACCUGCCUGGCCUUGCUCCCAAAACCUUAAAUAUACCAUUUAAUCCUCACGACCACGCGAGGAGGUAGGCACAGCUAUUAUUCCUUUUGGAAUAAAUGAAGACCCCGAGGCACAGGGACGUGAAAUCACUUCCCAGGGUGACACAGCUCUGAGUGGAGCAGCCAAGCUCAGCCUGGGUGUUCUGGCUCCAGAGUCCAUCAUUUUAGCCCCUGCUCUAUAUCCUCUCUAACCAGCCUUUCUUGGGUGCAUCCGUCCAAUUAUUGAUCAGUACCGACCUUGGGCCUUGCACUGCUCUGGAUGCUGGGGGUACAUCCGUGAACAAAGCAGACAGAUGAAUUGAGGGGCCGCUGCGUGCCUGGCCCCCUGGAGACACCCCCCUGAGGACAUCCUGGUGACGUAAGUGGGCCCUGGCCCAGUCUAGUUGGGGAGGUAGACAUUCAUCAACUGUCAUUCAAAGACUUGGAAUGGCCCUGAGAGAUGCGUAGCAGAAGCAGAGCUGCCCCAGGAAGUGAUUCUGAGUCUGAAGUCUCAGGCCUCAGUGGGGAGGUGACUCUGGGGAGAGGAAGCAGCUUGUGCCCUUGAGAGCAGCGGCCUGAAAAGGGGCUGGUUUGCACGGAGCCUGGGAAACAAGGGGGUCCGACACGAGGACAUGGUGGGCCAAUGGUAUCUUUAAGUCAGAAACAGACAAAAUUUCCUAUUCAAAAAGGCAGUAGGCAGCUCUUGAGGAUCUGGACAAGAGCAACAGCUCUUUCAGUGAGGGGCACGGUUUCCAAAGUUUUUCACACCUACUCUGUUGUCUGGAGGCACUCGGUGAAGCAGGCACUCUUGGGGUUCUUGUUCCGACCUAACUGAUCAAAGCCGUGACGUCCUCCCCCAAUGAUCUCUAUGCAUUGAGAGCAUGAGGACGAGGGUCCAGCUUCACACGCAGGGGCUGCUUGGAGAGGAGAGAGGAGACGUCACGUACACCCGUGUCACUGGUGUGCACGGCCUGUCACCUGUACAAGCGACACUGCAGUGGGGGUGGCCUCGGAGGCUGUGAGAGGAGCUGGGUCCGAGAGGAAGAGAUUUCUCUCUACCUUUCCAUCCAGGUCCUCCUGGCUGGUCUCAGAAUUCAAUUGACUCAGGACAGAUGCACAGGAGAGAAUCGAACAAAAGUGUCAUCGCAUAUAUACAUGGGAGAGACCCAAGAAAAUGGAGUAAGUCGCCUAAAAGGCUGAAGCCUCACCUUAAAUAGUGUCUUCUGCUGAAGACAAGAGAGGAUGUUGGGGGCCGUGGUUUGGGAUUUCGAAGGAAAGAAAGGCAAGUGACAAGGGGGUGGAGAAGCAAACGUUUGGUAAACAGGUCUUUGCUGGACCACACAGGGGCCGCGGGACACACAUCUGGUCUGUCCCCCUGUUCUGCCACCACACCCAGCCCAUAGUCUUCACAGGUAACUCUGUCAAAGUUUCUUCCUGAGACUUUUGGGCCUCGGUUGUUUAUAGUUUGAAAUACGCAGCAUACCAAAGGGACAUUUUGGGGUGGCGGGUUUUGCUCUCGCCUACAGAAGCAAAAGGGUCCAGUGGCAGCCUGACACAUGGUCGGUGCUCAGAGCCGUCCAUCCCCUGCUUUCACCGGGAGAAAGUGAGCAUCACUUUGGUUUGGCACAUCUUUUGCACACCUUCCGUGACAGUUGUGCUUUGGUGGCAUUUGGCGCAGUGCCUGAGACAGGAGAAAGUUGUUCGUCUUCCUUGCCCCAAAGAGGAUCCCUGUUUCCUAGCAUCGGAAUAUUCUGCCUGGAGAUCUUGCAGACAUUGAAAGGCCUUGCCUCUGCCUGGACUCUGCAGAGAGAAAUUCCCGAAGACAACUGCCCAGGUUGGAGGCUCCAGCAGGGUGUCGAGCUUUGGUCCAGAAACGCCCUCCUCCCAACGAGCUACUUUGCAAAUGUAUUUGCCCAAGAAGAAUCACCAGUGUUCACUUAUAAAACCCUUUCCACAGAUUGUUCUCAAUUAAUCCCCCUGAUAAUCUUGUGAGGGAGUCAACAUUCUAUAAAAGGGACUUGAAGUGGUUGUUAUUCAUGGCCCACAUAAAACAAAACCCAAACCCGGUUCCUCCCAGACCCAGGCCGGGGUCCCUUUAGUGUGGAGAGGGGUCCCUGUCGGCCCAUGCUUUGAUACGGCCCCUCAGAAAUAUCCCAACAAACGUUUCCCUGCUCGUGGGUUUUCCUGAUUAUGGGAGGGGUGGUCUAGGACACCAUUCUGGUCACUGGGACCCUUUGCAGGGUGUGUGUGGGUGUGUGCGUGUGCACUUCACCCAAGAUGACAUGCUUCGCAGGUGGCCCAGAGCCCAAAGUUACUGUCCUUUCUCUGGCACACCUGGCGACAUCAAUAGAGGGAUACCAGCCAGCAUUCAAAUUGUGGCGUUGGACAGGUUCAGAGGAAUGCGGCUGGCUUCCAGCCUCUUAUUUUCCCAUUCCACCGGAAGGUCGUCUUCCUUCGAGCUUUUAAACCGAAAAUAAAUUAUUGUAAUCCAUUUGUUAAUUAUACCGUGCUGAAGUUCUAGACACUGUAAAUUGCAGCCGCGAAAGAUCUAGAUGAAGUUUCUGGGAGUUUAUUUUUAGCCAUUCAGAGAGUGCUCAGUUUCCUAGAGGCUUAUUUGAAAGUCUAGGAGGGGACAGGGAAAUGCAUCUGCACAGUCCUUCCUGCCCUGUGACUCGGAUGGCGUCAUUGAACUUCACCGACCCUCCUCUGUAAAAGCCGGUGGUUGUACUAGCUGAUCUAGAAGCCCUGUCUGUCUUUAAGCUGUAGCUCUCAUUUUAUGACUGCGGAAACUAGAACGUGCUCAAACGUGGUCUUUCCCUGCCUGGUUCAUCCGGGAGAAUGUCAGAAGCCACCACCGCAGUAUGUUAGUGAACCGUGGGACCCAGACCUUCAAACACCUCAGGCCGAAUGGAUGCUUGGUCCCACUUUUCUAGCCUUCUUUUGGAGGGAUGGAAAGAAAUAGGGUUUUAUAUUCAUUUUGCACCUGCCGUGUGCAUAUUACACUGCUCGGUGCUUGCAUUUGAGGGCUUUUUGGAUGCCCUCCCCCAUUCUAGUCCAGUGUCACCCAGUUUCAGUCACCCCGUUACUCAUGAGUAUCUGUGUCCCAGGCACUGGGCUUGGUUCUGAAAACAUCAGGAAGGUCAAGGGCGUGCACUUCCUAGCUCCAAGGAGACCGGCGGGGGAGGUCAAGUGCGAAGUGAGCUUUAGGAACUGCAGUGUCAGAGCCGUGGAUGAUGAAAGUGCUGAGUGUCAUCAGAGGUGUCACAGACUCAUUAUGGUGGGGGUCCCGGUCCAUUUGUGCCUGACGGGGGUUGGGGCGGACUGGGAAUCAGGGAAGGGUUUGAGGAUGAAGAGCUAUUCGAGCUGGGCAUGGUGUCUAAAUAGGAUUUAGACAUGUAGAGACUGGGUGAGGGAAAUCGCACAGACCUGCUUUGGUAACCUUGGAAACCACCCUCGCCAGAUUGCAGGGAUGGCCGUCCCUGACCAGUCAGCAUCCACAGGUGCCCAGCAGAGCACAUUUCUUCUCCAUACACCCUGACCUCCAGCAAAUUUUCUUCAAUGUAGACAAAAGUAUGAUAUAUAUAUAUAUAUUUUUUUUUCCAAAGGCUGAGCAUAAAAAGUUCCUGUGUUUGGAUGUUUCUAGUAUCUAGACUUCUAGAUAAACCAUCUCCUACUAUAUUUGUGUGAUUCUUGGGUGGAUAGACGGAUAUGUGGUCCCAUGGAUGAAUGGAUGGUUUGGUGUCAUUAUAGCGCUGCCACAGGAAGGCAGUGGGAGCAGUGAAGCUGGCUGGGCUUGUGGGAAGGGGACCGUGGAGCUGAGCCUUGAGCAGUGAAUAGAACUUUCUGAACCCACAGAGAAGAGAAAGGUCUUCCAUGCCAAGGGAGGCAGAAUGGAAGCGUGAAAUGCAUACGAUGUGGGAGAGUGGAGAGUUGCCGAGGCCAGGACAUAGGAGGGGAGGACGCGUACAAGCAGUAGGCUCAGAGCAUAAGCUUUGAAUGAGACAGAUGGUGUUUGGAAUCCCAGCUCUGCCACAUAGUAGCCGUGUGAUCUUGGGCAAAUUCUGUUUCUCUUCUUAGCUUCUUCUUUCUCAUCUGUUAAAAAAAAAAAAAAAAAAAAAGGUCUAUUAAUAAUACCUACCCCAGAUUGGUGGUUGUGACGAUUAAGUGAAAUAAUGUUUAACACUGUGAUUGGCUUAAUAAAUAAUAGCUUAUGGUGCUUAUUUUAUUGAAAUGACUCUAAUUAAAUUAUGAAACUCAUCUUAUGGACCAAUUUUGAGUAGACAAAAAAAAAAAUUAUGCAAACACCAGUUUAAGCCCCAGAAUUUAUAGAGGCGGGGGAUCUUUACUCGUUCACAUUUAAGGAUGUGGCAGAGAAAAAGGAACUAGUCAAAGAGACCGAGAAAAAGCCUGUGCAGGAGAAGGGGCGUCAGAAGAGACGGAUGUUCGAGCUGCCCUGGCAGCAGAGUUUCCAGGGGAGGCAGUGAUCCUGCUGGAGGGUGACCCAGGGAGGCCACGGCAAAUGGAGCCGUCUCCGGAAUUUCUAGGGACAGCCUCAUUCUGAUCCUGAAAAGAACCUUCCAGAGGUGGA
ensembl:lncRNA